GACGUAGGAGCCAAGCGUUAUCCGAAUUCACUGGGCGUAAAGCGCGUGCAGGCGGCUCGAUAAGUUGGAUGUGAAAGCUCCCGGCUCAACUGGGAGAGGCCGUUCAAUACUGUCGGGCUAGAGGGCGGCAGAGGGAGGUGGAAUUCCCGGUGUAGUGGUGAAAUGCGUAGAUAUCGGGAGGAACACCAGUGGCGAAGGCGGCCUUCUGGGCCGUACCUGACGCUCAGACGCGACAGCUAGGGGAGCGAACGGG
rnacentral:rRNA from 1 species